AUUGAACGCUGGCGGCAGGCCUAACACAUGCAAGUCGAGCGGUAGAGAGAAGCUUGCUUCUCUUGAGAGCGGCGGACGGGUGAGUAAUGCCUAGGAAUCUGCCUGGUAGUGGGGGAUAACGUUCGGAAACGGACGCUAAUACCGCAUACGUCCUACGGGAGAAAGCAGGGGACCUUCGGGCCUUGCGCUAUCAGAUGAGCCUAGGUCGGAUUAGCUAGUUGGUGGGGUAAUGGCUCACCAAGGCGACGAUCCGUAACUGGUCUGAGAGGAUGAUCAGUCACACGGGAACUGAGACACGGUCCAGACUCCUACGGGAGGCAGCAGUGGGGAAUAUUGGACAAUGGGCGAAAGCCUGAUCCAGCCAUGCCGCGUGUGUGAAGAAGGUCUUCGGAUUGUAAAGCACUUUAAGUUGGGAGGAAGGGCAGUAAAUUAAUACUUUGCUGUUUUGACGUUACCGACAGAAUAAGCACCGGCUAACUCUGUG
rnacentral:rRNA from 1 species